CAGACUGUGAGGGGAGCAAGGGUGGUUGCCACUGUCUGUUUCUUUGGCUUAAUCCUUAAAUCUUCUGUAAUCGGGAUGAGAAGGAGAGAGCAUGCUGCCUGACUUAGGACUGCACAGUCUAUGUUAGGACCUGCAAGGACAGAAAACCUAACUGGUCAUUACAAGAGAUGGAGGGAGGGGGCAGAGUAGAGCCACAGUCACUUUGGGGAACUUAAACCUAACCCGUUUCUUAAAAGAGGAGAGUCGAGCACAACGAGAUGCUUUUCAGCCAUCAACACAGAGGAAAAAGAAGAGGACUCUCUCUGGUUGGAUUCUUUUAGGAUGAGAAUGGUGCACAGAAGACAAUACACCCUGCUGUGAUCCCGGCAGAAGGAGCCGGGCGGUAGGGGGCUCAUGGCCUCGACAUGUGACGAUCCCCGCUUGGGCGCGGGCCCAUCUGAGGAUUCUGAGAUGAAUCUGGAUGAUUCCGACUCUGGAAGUGUCCUUUCUGAUGACUCAACGCUUCCUAACUUUGAGAGAGAUGACAAGUAUGCAGAGCCUCCUAAGACACUAUAUGUGGCAUGUGUUCGGAAUGAUCCCAUCUCCCUGCGAAGGAUACUGGAGCGAGGCGUUACCAAGGAAGAGGCCAUGGAGCUGGACAUUAACAGCAGGAGUGGACUGAUGGUGGCUGUGAGCAAAGGAUUUGUGGACAUCGUCACUACGCUGCAUGUAUGCCCUCUAAUAGACGUAAACCACCAAGACAAUGAUGGGAACUCUGCACUUAUGAUUGCAGCCCAAGCUGGCUUCGUCACUAUUCUAAACUACAUUCUCAAUUACUACUCUGCUGUGGACACUGAGGUCAGGGAUCCCCGUGGCUUUACUGCCCUGAUCAAGGCAGGCCUGCAGGGCAGAGAGGACUGCGUGUCGGCGUUGCUCAUGCAUGGUGCCGAUAUGAAUGCAAUGGACUAUGUUCAAGGGCGCGGCCUGAAAGAUUGGGUUUUGAAGACAGGAAGAUUUGAGACAUUGAACAGAAUACGUUAUCUGCAGGCUCAUCCUGUCGCUGAACAGUUUUGUGCCAGCUACGCACCUGAGUGGCCAGAGCUCAAGCAGCUGGUGGCAAAGGCCACCGCCACCAAAACCACGGGUCAGAAACUGCGGCAGCGCUUAAACGAUAGCUUCACUUUCAGCUUCCCUCAGGACCCCCAAGACAACGGGGUGAUGGACCACAUGGUGCGUAUGACCACAAGCAUCCACAGCCCCUUUGUAGCCACCGCUUGCCAUCCGCUGUGUCCCAGCAGCCCCCCAGAAAUUGGGAAGAGGCGCUUUGCUCUUCCCGAACUACUUGAGAAGCACAGCAACAAGGAGCUGGAGGAAAGCACAGUGUCUCACAGCAACGGAUCCCUCGCAUCCUAUUCUCCCAGCGCUGCAUCAGUCGCCUCGGUAUCCCUGACCUCCUGCUGCCAGGAGGCAGAGCGCAGGGAGAGCGCCCCACCCGGGAGCAUGAGAGGCUUUAUUCCCCGCAGCAUGGCGCACAGGAACAGCAUCUUCCCCUCUGGCUGUGUUCCGAAAAUUGAAGUGACCAAAUCUGGCGAGCCUACGCCGAAGAAAGAGAAGAAGAAGAAAAGGCAGAAGGGCUACCUGGAGCCUCCUGUGUGGAAGUACAAGGAGGCCAAGGAGGAAAAAAAGAGGGAGAAGAAGCAAAAGGAAAAGGAAAAGGAAUUAGAGCAAGAGAGAAUAUCCAAGGGGUCCAAAAAAUAGAAACUAAACAUGACCCAAAUUGAGCGUUUCCAAAGAAGAUUGUUGAUUCUGUGGAAGACUAUUUUGACACAAAGUUCGUGUAUGAGCUGAUGGCGUAAAUAUGCAAUUUUCCAAUUAGGUUUUAGCCAUUUAUAUACUGUAGGGUGAUAAAACAUAAAGGAGUAGUAGUAAAAGUGUCACUUGCUGCUGCACUGGCAUUAUUUUACCAAGUUAAAGUCCCUGUAAAGUGAACAUAAAUGUCUUCUAAAUUUGACGCACAACAGAGAGAGGUGUCAUUAACAACCCUGACAAAUUUGAAUGGUUCAAACAAAUUGCCAAUAUACAAAUUUAAACUUCAAAAUCGGGAAAAAUCAAGCUUUUAUUCCCGCUCUCAAACUCUGUGGCCAUGUCUGCUGAAUGCAUCAAACAAUGUCCUGCUGAAAAAGGGAUUCUACUUCAUUCAGCAACAUCCUGAGCUAUACACAUUCCGUCAUGUUUGAUGUAUGAAAGUGUAUCUGGGAGGUGCUACUCACCAGAUUCAGCAGCUUGCAAGCUAAGAGGAUUCCAGGGCUCCUCUUGGUCGGCGGAUGGACGCCAGGCUAGUCUGCGGCGUCACCUCCUCACUUGGAAUUUAAGCUGUUCUGUAAAUUGUGACAGCCAGGGAAGAUGCAUAUUCGAGGUCUAGGCAUAGCUAGCUAGCUAACUGCACGCUGUAGUGUUUGAAAUUAUACAGUGGCGUAGGGGCGGCUCAUGUCCCCGAGCGCCUCACUUGGUGCUGAUUCAGCCACGCCCCAAAAAAUCAGGAAAACUAAAAUGGUGAAAACCGGUUUAACGCUAUAUCUCCACGAUUACUUCAUAGUUCCGUCUUUUCACGUUUACAGAAAUUAUCUUCAAACGUGUAUAAUAUAUUUACAAACAAAAUCUCUCAAUUCACUUUACAGGUUCUUUAAGCAUUUGGAUCAAAAUCACCAUUUUGACCUGUAAUAAUGAGGUCAUAUUUGGGCAUAUUAACCCUAACCCAGGUGCAUUUUGUGUCCUCAUGACAGGACUUUUAUCACUUUUCUCAGGGAGUUACAUCCAUUAGUUUUCACUGAAUCUUAGGUUUUCUAUGCUACCACUGAAAGAUAUCUCUAACUCAAACAUACUGUGUGUCCAUCUUAUUAAAUGGAGACAAUUAUUCCAAACAUCAUCGGUCAGACUGCGUUUCUCUUCCUCUAGCUAAGAAUUCCAUUACCGUAAUGUGUUGAAUGUGGUGACAUAAUACAUAAAGGCAAUGUAUAGUUCCCACUUCCUGGAACAAGACUAUAUUUUCCAAAGCUAUCUCCACAAUCGUGAACUUAAAAAAGUUGACUGUUUCAUAGAAAUUCUGAAAAGAAUUAAUGUACAGUACAUAGCAGUCAAUGACUGCGGAUGAUGUUCCUCUUGUCUGACACGUAACCUUAGCUACUUACUCACUGACAAUUAAGUUUCACUGAGUUAUCUUAAGGCACCAAUAAUGCACUCGCUCAAGUGGCAUGCAAUGGCUUUUGAACUCUGAACCUCAGAAAUCUUUUAAUCCGAUGUGCAGGAUGGUUACGUAACAAUUAACUUCGAUUGGCUGAUUGUGUCUUCUCCGUUUGCGACGAAAGCUAAAAAACCAAAGACAUUAGUGUUGUUGUUGUGGUCAUUUAAAGACUGUUGCGUCACGUUAGAAUAUUUUUAGUAUAAUGUCUCAUUUCCUCUUCUCCAAGGGAACUUGCUGACUUUAGGUCAGCGCUGGGAUAAAUACAUCUCCGGAGUGCAGUGAAGGAGCACAUUAGAUGAGUAAAUAAGGCGUGACCUGGGUCAAGAUGGACACAAUUAGACCUGUGACCUCCUUAUAAAUGUGGCUCAAAGUUACAAAUAUACAGCUACAAUUGUACUCUCAGACCAAACAAAUAAGGCUUUUUUUUACUGAGAUGAAGCGACCUCAAAUACAGGCCUGUGUAAAAUACAAAGAACAAUGUGCUCUCUUUUUUACACGGCAGCUCAUGUGAGAGCAUCCAGCUGUCUCUGAAGCCCGAAAGCAAAAAGAUGGCAGAGCCUGAGCACAAGCGAAUUGGGGGAUGUAGAUGAAUAACAACAAAACAUUUCUUUCUGGCAUCAAAGAGCAACAGGAAAAAGUUUGACUGCCGUCAAUAAUACAGCAGAGGCAAUCACCAAUCAUAUAAGAGGUAAACCACCAUCAUUGUAUUUCGUAUACACCCUAGGAAAGUGGUUCUCAACUGUUGUGACCCCGGGACCCGCAUCUCCCCGUUUUUGCAAGCAUAUCACGAGCCAAGAUAUCUGCUAGCCCGAGGCUGAGCUGCACUGUAUUUGUUUACAUGUUCGUAGAGGUGUGAGGAAGGUACAGUCUUCUCCCACCAUUUGUUGGGGAUAUGGACUGACCCCUGCAGCGAAUAGAGCUGUAAUCCGCUACAUGCGGAACGUCACAUGAUCAAACCCGAAAAACGGUUUAGCUGACAUCCUGUGUAUGCUACACUACGAGCACUGGUUUGAUGCCAGGAUUGUUUUGAAGCCGAACUUGAUAACAUUUUGUUUUCUUUAUGGCUUUCUUUAUACAAAUGAGAUAUGCUGUAUGUAAACAUGAAUCAAACCUAAACUUCGGCUAUUGUCAUCUUCGGUGGCUCUAUGAUGACAUCUGUUGUUAAAAAAGACAUUGUAGACAUUUAAAGUUCCCACGGGUGCUAUAUUACGGUCCCCUUCACCAUUUACCAGAGCAGAGAGGAAGUGAUUUUACCUAUUUUGCCAAAUCCGGAAGUAUGUUGCAAAUACUGGAUGGCUCAUAAUUGCUGCAAAGCACUAUUUGAAGCUAUACAACUUACUUCAACAUAGUUCCAUGACAACAUGAUUCCACAAGAUGGUGCCAAAACAUCCAUCCAUCCAUUUUCCAAACAGCUUAGCCUAACUAGGGUCACGGGCGUGCUGGAGUCUAUCCCAGCUAUCUUCGGGCGUGAGGCGAGGUAUACCCUGGGCUGGUCGCCAGCCAAUCGCAGGGCACAUAGAAACAAACAACCAUACGCACUCACAUUCACACCUACGGAGAAUUUAGUGUCUUCAAUUAACCUACCAUGCAUGUUUUUUUGGGAUGUGGGAGGAAACCGGAGUACCCGGGUAAAACCCACGCAGGCACAGAGAGAACAUGCAAACUCAGAACUGUGAGGCAGAUGCGCUAACCAGUCGACCACCGUGCUGCCGGUACCAAAUCAAUACUUUUAUAUUCGACAGUGCUGAAUAGCUAGGGUUUUCAGCAAACAAUUCCAUUGCAACAUGCUGGCAAUUUUUUUUGUUUUGAGUUUGUUGUCACAUUUCUGUCGGGCCAAUUAUUAUUAUUAUUACUCGUGCACUCAUUGUAGUAGUCUCGCCACGCUGCACUAUUUGCGUAUCUGUUGUUGACCAAUACUGGCCACUCAUGCCAGAGUAGCAUCUGCUCCAUUUGCACACUGACUGAGGAGAAUCUGCAACAAUUGCACAAUCAACAUUGUCCCAGAUUAUUGCACUACUCGCUUGAAGUCUCGGCGCCCUUUGCACAAUGGUCAUUGCACCGGACUAUUGCAAUAUUAGUCAUUCGAACUGCUCUGCAUCUUUUUGCACAAUUGUCAAAAAAAAAAAAAAAAAAAGUACCGGCAUUACCAGAUAACUAGCAACCCUUUAUUGCUCAGUGACUGUUUUUUUGUUAUUUGUGUCAAUGUCUUUAUGUCUCAAAAUUGUCUGUUGUCGUACUAGAGCGGCUCCAAUUACCGGAGACAAAUUCCUUGUGUGUUUUAUGGACAUACAUGCCAAAUAAAGAUGAUUCUGAUUCUGAUUCUGAAAUAACGGAGCAGAGGUUAAAAAAAACAACUUUGAAUAGGUGAAUCCACAAGAUUUGAAUCAAAAAUAUAUGAGGAAACACUUUACACUUCGUGUCCCUUACCUAAUAUGUUCUGUGUUCUUGGUAUGCUUCUAAACCGUACGGGAAAAUAUAAAUAUAGUGGUGCCUUGAGAAAUGAGUGACUAGACUAACAACUUUGAGGAAGGUCUGCUUCGCUUAAUGCUAACAAACAAUACGGGCCAUAGAGGUGUUAACAAGCAGCACUGGUGCCGCUCUGUUAUAACCCUUUAAGCAACGGAUAUUUGAAAACAAACAAGUUGAAAAUCACUGCCGUAUGAGAUGUUCAAUAAGACUAUCAGGCUGCAACGAUAGGAUAAGGUCCCUCAUUCGAAUGAUGUGGAAAAUCCAAAUUGAAGAAAGGGAGACCUUUUUGAGAUUUCAACUUCUGAUACAACCACACAACAUUUUAACUUAAUGGGAUCUCAAUAGAAAUGUGUGUGGUGGACUCAGAAGAGAGACAACAGUGCAAAUGUCCAAAGUAUCAUCCUCUGGUGGGAUCCGGUAAUGCCGAGUUUGGAUUUAUACACCGUCAGAGUGAGCAUAAUAACUGAGCGAUAUCAUAUUUUGAAAUCUUUGAAACUGCAACCACUGCAAACUACAUUUCUGAUUCUGUCAAUCAAAACUCAGUAUUCUUAUCGGUGUAAAAGCAGAAUUGCUACAACUCUUUUAUUAGAUUUCCAAAUAGUUUCCAUUGAGUCCGGUUUAUUGUUAUUGCUAUUUUGGCCUUUUACUAAACUAAACAAAGCAAAUAUAAAAUGUUCUAAAGCUCGAUGUUGUGUCCCUGUGUGUGUUCGUGUGCGAGUGAUACCUGGAUUUCCUUUUUUUGCACUUUCAAACUGAUCUUGAAACUCUGCCCACUAAUCUUGAAAGCGCCAAAAUGUAACUGUCAGAUUUUCCAUUGCGAUAAAGAUUACAUGUCCUAAUUGCUUAGAACAAUUUUUUUUUCCUCUGUCUCCUCUCUCUCUCUCUCUCUAAAGGAGAAAUGUUUGAAAUAUGAAAACGAAUAGUAACAAAUAAAAGGGGGUUGGAGGGGUCUUUGAAGAACAUUCCUGUCAGUGUGCAGUGCGGGCUCAGUCCACAGGGGAAAAGGGAAAAUGAGAGGUUUAGCAACAGGAAAACCGCUAUGAGAACAUUCCAGGCAGAGCAGAGUUGAGUUGAGCGGGACAAUGAGGGGUGGGACAAAACUGUACACUAAGUAAAAAAAAAAAAAAAAAAAAAAAAAAAAAAGUAAUCUUGCCUUUUGAUCACGGUCAGACAUCAACAAAAGGCCUCCCUUCAUGGGACAGAAUUUGUUUGAGCAGCCCUCACAGGGUGGAAGCAGUCUGGGUUUGCGCCACUGUAGAUUUGGAACGAGAUCCGAGAUGAGAUAAUCUCACACGACGGCGUCUUCGAUUAUUUUACACUUCUGGCGGGUUUAUGGACCAUUUCAAAAAAACAGCAGCUUUUGGAGGACCACUUUGUCCACAAGGAUGCGGGUUCUCUUUGGAUCAAAUAUCUUCAAUUGAGCUUUUCGCGGAGGAAGGAAAGUCGCGAAAGUCAUGGACACGUUUGUCUUGUAAACGGGGGACACUUGAAGUGGACAUGGGAGACGUGCGGUGUUCACACGCAUCACGUUAAAAGGAAUACUGAUAACAGUGAGGCCAGUUCGGGGGCUCAGAGAGGCUGCUUUGCUGUUGCAUGCCCCCACCAUCCACCACUCGAAACACACAGUCAUCCAGAUGGAAUGAGAGAUCUGCCUCCUCGAGUCUAAGCUGUCGAUGGGAGGAAGAGAUGACAAUGGAUCUUUUCCCCUUGGGUCACAGGGGUGUAGCGUUGGACAGAACGGAGACAAACAGGAGAGGGCUCAGGGAGGAAGCUCGCUGGAGUCGGAUGUCAGACCGGCCUACGAUGGAAGACACGAUUAGGGUCCCCUCCUAUGUCGGGACCCGUGAACGAUAAUGUGAUAGCGAGAUAAAUGAAACCCAGCUGUGCCCCUCCACUGAUAAUUUGAGUUUGUGGAGUUGUGUUUAUGCUAGAUUUACAGAUUUACCAGCACUGACUUGCAGACUGCAUAAUGCAGGAAGUGCUCGCUAAUGUUUGGGCCAAUAUGGUGUGUGGUUUAAAGAUUGGAGUCCAGGAGGCUCUUAACCGGAUUUGGAGGGAGUGGGGGGUGGUGGCAGGUUGGGUGUCAAGUCUAAAGAUAGUUUGUUAGGUAUUUAUCAGAUUUUCAUGUCAGGUGGAAAUGGUGUCCAGCAGGGAUUUCACAUUUGAUUUGACGCAUAUUUUAUAUAUUGUCGCUGUCGGGUAGAAAAAUGACAACUUUUCCGGAAAAAAAUGAAAAAAAACGACUGGAGAAACUGCAUAACCGAUGCGGACGAAGGAAUGUACUAUACUAUAACGUGGCAGUAUUAACUCGUAUUUUAUAUAUUGUAGAUUUAGGUCGCAAAUCCCCUCACCUCCAAAAUUAAAACUUUUCAGGAAAGUAAAAUAAAAAAAAUUACAGCUGGCUUGAGUUUCAAAACAGCGCUUUGUUCCAGUUGAUCUUCUACCUUAUGUUGCUAUUAUAUAUUGAUGCACUCUCAUAUGAACAACAGCUAGCAGCCCGAAAUUAUAUUUAGUGGCUAAUAUGCUAAAAAUUGCUACUUUAUUCGGGUGUCAUGAUUUGAAAUGAUACAAACACAAUGGUGAGUGACACACAUCCCUGGAAGCCUCAUGAACCCAAGCAAUCAUAUCCCAUUGCUUUGCACUCUGACAUGAACACAACAGCUCUAGCACCCCCAAAUUAUGUUCAAUUGCUAAUUUAACGGGGGUAUAUUUUGCCAAACCAACUUUUUCUAGUAUUUGGGAUGCAAUAUUGUCUUUUUGGUGCCUCAGUAAACAUGAAAUAUGAAUUAAUCGUCCACACAAUCCUGAGUUCCAGGCGUUUUCUGUUUUUCAUUCUAAUUUUUCUAUCUUAUCUAUGUCACUAACGAAGAUCUCCGCCAAUCUCUCCACUCCUGAGACAGCGCUGUAAACUUAACAAACACGUGCGCUCUCACAAGUGGGUCUUCUACACAGAGGCGACCAGUCAGAGGAAAGGGGGCGGGGUGAUCUGAGCUAAAUAUGGGCAAAGUGGAUACAAAACUGGGUGAAACAGAAGUAGCUGUCUUUUCUGGACACUCGUAUGACAAAACCAAUGUGUUUUUGUAAAUGAAAGUCCAUGUUAGAGAGUCACUCCACGGAGGUCUAAAUAGCCAAACCUUGCUGAAUAUGCUGGAAAAUAAUGCUGAUAAAAUACUACGGACACGGCGCCAUGAUGGCAGGUGUCCGCGGUGACAGCCAGUAGUCCAUAUUAAAGUCUGUCUGUGUCUCACAAUGCCACCAGGCACCCUACAGAAAUGCCUUCUUUGUGCUCAUUAAACGCUAACAUGAGCCAAAAAUGUCCACACUUUCAGCAAGCUCACAUAUUUUUUUCUGUUUUCAUGUACAUUGUCUGCUUGUAGUUCAUUUUCAAAAAUAAAAUACAAAUGGGGACUAUUACAUUAACUCAACUGUAGGGGAGCCCCGGAGCCAAAGACAACAAACCAUUACAAGUAAUUAUUCUUUAAAUGAUGUUGUUUUACUUGUUUUUUCUAAUCAGGCAAUUUGAUAUCAAUAGUUGAAGCAUGUGAAAGGAUCAUCCAACUGCAGCACGCUUCCGCAUUGGAUGAAGGCUGUGCUACUUGCGUGACCCCCGGCAAUGCGGCCCUAAACAAUGAGCAGCCGUUGUCUCGCCGGCCAGCCGGGUGGGGCCACUCAAUGGCAGGAAGCAUCGCCAUCAAUAUUUACACUGCAAGCGGGGCAUUUGAGGAGUCGACAGGCCUGGAGCCUGGGUAGCACAGCGCCACACGCAGUCUCAACCCACUUAUACAAACACUCUGGAGUGCUGUUACAGUCGCCUUCCCCCCAAGUCCUUUUUUUCCCAUCUAGAGUAAUUAGAACACAGGCAGACAGGCUGGGCCCACUGACCGUUGUUUUGGACCUCAUAGCUUCCCCCGUGGCUUUGUUCACCACUUUAGAUUUCAUUCACAGAGCUGCUAAAAUGUCAACAAAAUCACAAUUGGGUUUUUUAAUUGUGUCAUUUACUGUAUGAGCUGUUUUUAAUUAUUCUGUGUCUG